AUAGUUUAUUCCCACCUCCAGCAGCCCAUGAGAGAAAGUUUUAAUGAGUGUAAUGUCUGCUUGAGAUCUGCUGUACUUUCUUGACCCAUUUGGAUGUGGUGCUCCAGGACAUGAUUUAGUGGAAACAAAUGCUAAGGAUGAUAGUGCAGCUGCUGUGCACCUGUGUAAUCACUGACCUUGGUGGCAUAGUAGUUCCAUGUCAAGGAUAUGAGAAGGAAGUCUUGGAUCUUGCUGCUGAUGGAUUUGGAAUGAGCAGGGACCAUGGCAGUACUGACCACCCAACAUAAAAUAAAGCAGCGGCAUGAACAGGCA
rnacentral:lncRNA from 1 species